ensembl:lncRNA
UAUUGUGUUGUUGAGGAAUUGUACCAUUAUAUUGCAGGGAGCAAGAGACAAAGAUGCAUCUUUCUCCCACCCUGCAUACACCCUGCACACAGACACACACACACACACACAGUCAUUAAGUUAGCUGCAAGGUCACAGAACAAAUUAGUACAUGGCAGAAAUUUUUAAAGAAGGGUUGAACCUAAGGAGUGUCUGGAAUUUGUCCUCAUUGGUUGGCAGAUCAGCUAACCAGAGCUCAAGGAACAUGGGUUCUAAAGUCUAAAGAUUGGAACGGAACAACCCUAAACUUUGGAAAUUGAGAUUUAAACAACGGCAAAGAGAAAAAAUAAGAACACAUCAAUCAAUAUUUAUCUUGGAUAGAAGAAUGUGACCAAAAUGGAACCUGAGCCAGCAAAGAUCAGCCAGGGACAGGAAGGAGAAUCAAAGAAUGUCACGGUAUCACUAUGGCAACUAAGGAAGAGAGUUCAGGACACGAUCAGGUUGGCAGGAGGAAAGAUCCCAAGCUACUCAACAAAGGCCUCUCCAAGUGCUUGCUGUGCUUUGUCCCAGGAAGAAACAAGAGGAAGAGCCUUCCCAGCACUGGCUCCUGCUUCCCUGAGUCUCUAAAGAGCAGCUUCCUGCCAAUUCAGCUCAUAGUCAUUACAAUAAAACUCCAGCAUUCCUUUAUAAUAAUAGUAAUAAUAUAAGCUACUGUCUGUCAAGCAUCUAGUUGCCAAGCAAAGUAGUGUUUAUUAUCCUUACUGUAAUACUAAUCAUGACUAACAUUUUUAAGUACUUAUUUUUGCCAGCCCCCAUACUAAGUGCCUUUCAGAUAUUAUUUCAUUCACUUAUUACAUAGAACCCACAAGGCAGGUUAUAUUAUUCCCAUUUUUCUACUCAAGGAUUUGAGGCUCAAAGAGAUUAACCAACCAAUACAACCAGGAAGGAGAGAAUCAGGACUGAAAACUGGUUCUGUCUCCUUCCAGAUCAGGCUUAUUUUUGUAGCAACAUCAUAGUCAGGGCAUAUAUUUAAAAGAGCAAUAAUAUGCUCCCCUUUUGGGUUUGUUUUGCCUUGGGAGACGGAAUCUCACUACAUUAUCCAGGCUGGUCUCAAACUCCUGAGCUCAAACAACCCUCCCACCUUGUCCUCCCAAAGUCCUGGGAUUAGAAGUGUGAGCUACCAUGCUCAGCCUAUCAUUUUAAUAUUAGUAUAUAACGUUGUCAGCAGGAUCCACCAAUAAAAUCAGGCCAAACCACAAUGAAGAAAUACCAUCUUCUAGUAAAUGUUAACUUUUUAGUUAACUCAUCUGCAAUCAGUAUGACACUGUGCUAGACACGAUUUUCAUUCAUCCAUUCCAAUAUUCAGUAAGUCUCUGUUAUAUUAAAUACUUGGAGACAGGACAGUGAGUAAAACAAAUAAGUUCCAUAUCUUUGCAGAAGCUUGCAAUCUAGAGGAGGAAACAGACAAAUAAUCAAUUAGAGGACAGGAUGAUAAUUAAUAAGAUAAAUCAAAUCACAGAGGCAUACCUGACACAGCCCUGCAGAACAGGGGUGGGGUCGGGUGCUUUCCAGAAGGAGCAAUGCCUAAGGCAAGACCUGAGACUGGCUGAAAAAGAAGGCAGACACUGUUUACAACAGCAAAGACUUGGAACCAACCCAAAUGCCCAUCAGUGAUAGACUGGAUAAAGAAAAUGUGGCACAUACACACUAUAGAAUACUAUGCAGCCGAAAAAAGGAUGAGUUUAUGUCCUUUGCAGGAACAUGGAUAAAGCUGGAAACCAUCAUUCUCAGCAAACUGACACAAGAACGGAAAACCGAACACCACAUGUUCUCACUCGUAAGUGGGAGUUAAACAAUGAGAACACAUGGACACAGGGAGGGGAACAUCACAGACUGGGGCCUGUUGGUGGGUGGGAGGCUAGGGGUGGGAUAACAUAAGGAGAAAUACCUAAUGUAGAUGAUGAGGUGAUGGAUGCAGAAAGCCAUGACAUGUGUAUACCUAUGUAACAAACCUGCAUGUUCUACACAUGUACCCUAGAACAUAAAGUGUAAUUUAAAAAUAAAGAAGACAGAAAAAUAUC